CUUAGAUCAGAAGCGAGAAUGUUGACAUGAGUAGCGACAAACAGGGUGAGAAACCCUGUCGCCGAAAGUCCAAGGGUUCCUGCUUAAAGCUAAUCUGAGCAGGGUAAGCCGGCCCCUAAGGCGAGGCCGAAAGGCGUAGUCGAUGGGAACCAGGUUAAUAUUCCUGGGCCAGUGGGAUGUGACGGAUCGCAGAUGUAGUUUGCCCUUAUCGGAUUGGGUGGGCUGCUGAGCGGUUCCUGGAAAUAGCCCCACAUCAGACCGUACCCUAAACCGACACAGGUGGACUGGUAGAGUAUACCAAGGCGCUUGAGAGAACCACGUUAAAGGAACUCGGCAAGAUGCCUCCGUAAGUUCGCGAGAAGGAGGCCCCGUCUGUACGCAAGUAUGGGCGGGGGGCACAAACUAGGGGGUGGCGACUGUUUACUUAAAACACAGGGCUGUGCGAAGCCGUAAGGCGACGUAUACAGUCUGACGCCUGCCCGGUGCUGGAAGAUUAAGAGGAGGGGUGCAAGCUCUGAAUUGAAGUCCCAGUAAACGGCGGCCGUAACCAUAACGGUCCUAAGGUAGCGAAAUUCCUUGUCGGGUAAGUUCCGACCUGCACGAAUGGCGUAACGAUCUCCCCGCUGUCUCUAACGUGGACUCAGCGAAAUUGAACUGUGUGUCAAGAUGCACACUACCCGCGGUUAGACGGAAAGACCCCAUGAACCUUUACUCCAGCUUUGCACUGGUAUCAGGAUUGUGAUGUGCAGGAUAGGUGGUAGGCAUUGAAGCGGGGACGCCAGUCUUCGUGGAGCCUCCCUUGAGAUACCACCCUUCGCCAUCUUGAUAUCUAACCGCGGCCCGUUAUCCGGGUCCGGGACCCUGCAUGGUGGGGAGUUUGACUGGGGCGGUCGCCUCCCAAACAGUAACGGAGGCGCGCGAUGGUUGGCUCAGACCGGUCGGAAAUCGGUCGUUGAGUGCAAUGGCAGAAGCCAGCCUGACUGCAAGACUGACAAGUCGAGCAGAGACGAAAGUCGGUCAUAGUGAUCCGGUGGUCCCAAGUGGGAGGGCCAUCGCUCAACGGAUAAAAGGUACUCUGGGGAUAACAGGCUGAUGAUGCCCAAGAGUCCAUAUCGACGGCAUCGUCUGGCUCCUCGAUGUCGGCUCAUCUCAUCCUGGGGCUGGAGCAGGUCCCAAGGGUAUGGCUGUUCGCCAUUUAAAGAGGUACGUGAGCUGGGUUUAGAACGUCGUGAGACAGUUCGGUCCCUAUCUGCCGUGGGUGCAGGAGACUUGAGAAGAGUUGACCCUAGUACGAGAGGACCGGGUUGAACGAACCACUGGUGGACCAGUUAUCGUGCCAACGGUAGUGCUGGGUAGCUAUGUUCGGACAGGAUAACCGCUGAAGGCAUCUAAGCGGGAAGCCCCCUUCAAAACAAGGUCUCCCUUGAGGGCCGUGGAAGACGACCACGUCGAUAGGCCAGAGGUGUAAGUGCAGCAAUGCAUUCAGCUGACUGGUACUAAUUGCCUC
rnacentral:rRNA from 1 species